rnacentral:rRNA from 1 species
UGCAAGUCGAACGGCAGCACGGGGGCAACCUGGUGGCGAGUGGCGAACGGGUGAGUAAUACAUCGGAACGUGUCCAGUAGUGUGGGAUAACCAGUCGAAAGCAUUGGCUAAUACCGCAUACGAUCUACGGAUGAAAGCGGGGGACCGUAAGGCCUCGCGCUAUUGGAGCGGCCGAUGUCCGAUUAGCUAGUUGGCGGGGUAACGGCCCACCAAGGCGACGAUCGGUAGCUGGUCUGAGAGGAUGAUCAGCCACACUGGAACUGAGACACGGUCCAGACUCCUACGGGAGGCAGCAGUGGGGAAUUUUGGACAAUGGGCGCAAGCCUGAUCCAGCCAUUCCGCGUGAGUGAAGAAGGCCUUCGGGUUGUAAGAGCUCUUUUGUCCGGAGCGAAACGGUUACGGUGAAUAUCCGUGACUACUGACGGUACCGGAAGAACAAGCACCGGUAACUACG